UCUUUCUUUCUUUUUUUUAAACCGUGACUUUAUUCAGGUUUCUCGUUGUUGAUUUUCAGGUGCGGAAGUUACCUUCUUCUCAAAGAUGUUGCUUUUCUUUCUGGGUUAGCUUUUAGAAACUGGGUGAGCCGUAUUGCGCAGCCUUGCUCGCAGACUCUCGCUUAAGUGAACACGUUUGCUAGGGCAGGUGUUUUAUACUGCUUGGAUUCCUGGAAAUCCCUGAUAAAUUUUUAACAGGUUCUGUUACCAGCUGCAUUUGGAGCUGAGCAACAUUUCCCAGCAUAGUCUGUUGUUCUGCUAAUUCUUAGGGCUACUGAUACCGUGCCUGCGUGCGUAGCUCGUGUAACAGAUGUUUGUAUCUUUAUGUUGUCUUACCUCAGCACCUCCUGCUCCACGAGGUCAACGGCAUUCAGGACAAAUCUAUAAAUUACAGAUGAAGAAUUUAAUGAGUUCUGCUGGAAUCCCUUCUGGCUAGUUGAAAAGUGGUACAGUGCAUCAGAAAUACUGCUUUUCUGGGAAAGCGUGACCCCUCUAUUGAGGAAGAGGUGGCGGUUUCAGAUACUUGUGUGGGAUCGGGAGUCUUCUUGAUCAGAUGUCCUCUGAGACUUGGUUUCCUGUGUGUAAUUUUAAUGGGCCACUGUGAAGUUAAUCAGGCCUGCUCAGAGCAGAGGCAGGACGUUGGUGCUGCUGCUUGUGAUGUGUGCUGGCUGUCAUCCAGCACCUCUGGAAAGCACCAGAAAGGCUCCCAUGGACUUCAGUUAUGGAAGCAACCUUUUUCUCUAUGUGGAGAGACUUUGAGGCUGCACUCCUGGUAAUCCCCUUUGACUGCAGUGUAUUUUGAUUCCAAGGACAUUUUUGGGGUAGGAUUUUGGCUGCAAUGCUGCUGAAGGAUGGUUUAAUAUCAAACAGAGACGUGCAUAACGAGUGUUUUCCUGCUUUGACAAGCAGCAAGCUGAUGAAAUGAUCUCAUGGUUUUGAACCUGAGCUCUGGUGAAAACACUGUCUCAGCAGAGUAGCUACACUGGCUGUUAAAAAGGUGUGUGAGAGGAGAAAUCCUGCUUCACACGUCUGAGAAAAGCACUGGAGUCUUUCUAAAGACCCUCAGCUGUAUUGUUCACUACCGUACAAUUACUUUGAAAAAGUGAACCACAAGGCACUAAGAUGGGACUCAAAAAAAUCUUUCUGUGUAUAAAAUCUACUGGUGUCAUUGGAAAGAACCACUGUCCUAUUUCAUUGCCUUGGAACUUGUUCUUCUCAUAUACUACAAUAUUUCAGAUGCACCAUCUUUUGGAAGCAUAUUUUUAAGUUGGAAGAUUCUCUCUGUUAUGCUAUGUUUGUUGAUGGGUAAGACGCAUUUAAAAAAAAUGAAGGGGACUGAAUUUUAAAGUCACUUACCAGUAAG